rnacentral:rRNA from 2 species
CAGCAGCCGCGGUAAUUCCAGCUCCAUUAGCGUAUAUUAAAGUUGUUGCAGUUAAAAAGCUCGUAGUUGGAUUUCGGUGUGGGCCAGUUGGUCGGCCGCAAGGCCUGUUACUGACUGGUUCGCUCUUCCUCUCAAAGACUGCACGUGCCCUUCGCUGGGUGUGUGUAUUGGAUUUGGGACGUUUACUUUGAAAAAAUUAGAGUGUUCAAGGCAGGCUUUGAGGCUUGAAUACAUGAGCAUGGAAUAAUGGAAUAGGACCUCGGUCCCUAUUUCGUUGGUUUUACGGACCGAAGUAAUGAUUAAGAGGGACAAUUGGGGGCAUCCGUAUUUCGUAGUCAGAGGUGAAAUUCUUGGACCUACGAAAGACGAACAACUGCGAAAGCAUUUGCCAAGAGUGUUUUCAUUAAUCAAGAACGAAAGUUAGAGGAUCGAAGACGAUCAGAUACCGUCCUAGUUCUAACCGUAAACGAUGCCGACUAGGGAUCAGCGGGUGUUAUUGUACGACCCCGUUGGCACCUCACGGGAAACCAAAGUGUUUGGGUUCCGGGGGAAGUAUAGUCGCAAGGCCGAAACUUAAAGGAAUUGACGGAAGGGCACCACCAGGAGUGGAGCCUGCGGCUUAAUUUGACUCAACACGGG